GAAACUACAGGAAUGCCCAUGAUGUUUUGUUCAGCAUGUACACUGAGCUUUAGACACAGCACAUUAAAAUCCCAGCAGAGAUGGCCACAAACCUGAUGAUCCUGCACAGCUACAUAGUGAUGAAGACAUUGUCCCCAUCCUCACAUCAGCGGUUAUUGAAUGUCAUCGUGCUGGACUAAGGAACUCUGCCUUCAGUUUUGCCUCUAUGCUGAUGAGACCAGCGUAUCGUAACAAGAUUGAUCUCAAAUACAAGAAGAAGAUAGAGGCCAUGGUCCAGUAAGAAACACAAGGGAAAUAUAAUAAGAAUUAAAUACUCCAAUUAAUAGCGUAGUUUAUUUGCACACACACUGUUUUGCUUUAGCACAAUGCUAUUUCAGUGCAGUUAGGUUCUGUUUAAACCAGUGGUUCUGGACCUUUUUGACUUCAAACCCCCCGCUACGAGAGAUACAAACUCAAGAAAAAAAGUCAGAAUUGCGAGUUUGUAUAGCAUGAUUCCGAGAAAAAAAAUCUGAAUUGCGAUAUCAAAGUGCAAUUGUGAGAAAAAAAGAGCUCACCCUGUCCCUACUGCGGCUUCAGCCUGCCUGACUGUGAGCUGCUCUGUCCCGGCUGCAAAAACAAUCUGCCCCACCAUAUCGCCACAGUGAGUACAGACAACGUAAUCUACUGCAUCACUGCACUGCCUGAACACAAGCAGAUCUUGCUCCAAGGAAGAGACCUACAGCUUCAGUUCCACAGUGUAAACAUCAUAGAGAACUGCCAGAAACCCAGGCCCUAUUUUAACUUCCUCUCUAGGUGCUAUAUAUAUUUCAUUCUUGACUUGUCUGUGACUGUAAUGAGAGGAAUGACAAUAAACUUGACAUUUUGGUGUGUAUAUGCAGGCGCACACAGUUAUGCAGUUUGUCUGAUAGAUGUGUGUGUCAUUAUUUUCAUGGUCAACACUUGGUCAAGGAGGAUUGGUGUGUCUGCCCACACUGUGAUUUCCCUGCUCUCUAUUCGCAGUUCACUCAGCUCUUAGAGACUGAGUCGGUUUUCCCCAUGUGCACUGAGACUUUAAAUGUCAGUGAGAUGAAAAAAGUUUCGGACUGCUCCAGAUAUCUGCACCAGGACCAACUGGAGCACUGAGAUCCAGAGGGCAAGAAAAGAGAAAUGAAAGGGUAAUGAAAAAAAUCUUGCUGCUUUUACUUUAAUGAGACCACUAAUGAAACUCUUGAGUCUAAUGAAAUGCACCUGUUUUGCAUUUUGCAUAAUCUGCAUAAAGUUUUGGUACGUAAAUUAACAAUAUUUUUUUUUUUUUUUUACAUGGAAUUUAUUUUAACAUUCAAUUUUCAAGUAAUAGUUUACCCCAAAAUGAAAAUGCUGUCAUCAUUUACUCACUCUCAUGUAAUUCCAAAUAUGUAUGAUUUUUUUCUUCUGUAGAACAUAAAAGUAAGAUAUUUGUAAGAAUGCUGGCAACCAAACAGGUUUGGUAUUUGCAUAAGGCGAUCUGAUUGGAGGACGCCAACACCUGACGUCACUCCAUUAAAAGUAAACGAGAGGCGUUGAAUGGGCCGUCAGAGAUAACACUUUCUAACUCUUAUUUUUGCAUAAUAAAUUAACAUUUGAGAUUACA
ensembl:lncRNA